CGGGCAGUAGCUCAGUGGUAGAGCUCUUGCCUCCUAUGCGGGAAGACCUGCGUUCGAUCCCCGGCUGCUUAC
rnacentral:tRNA from 1 species